GUUCCUGGCUCAGGAUGAACGCUAGCGACAGGCUUAACACAUGCAAGUCGAGGGGCAGCACAGGGUAGCAAUACUUGGGUGGCGACCGGCGCACGGGUGAGUAACGCGUAUGCAACUUACCUAUCAGAGGGGGAUAGCCCGGCGAAAGUCGGAUUAAUACCCCAUGAAACAGGGGUCCCGCAUGGGAAUAUUUGUUAAAGAUUCAUCGCUGAUAGAUAGGCAUGCGUUCCAUUAGGCAGUUGGG
rnacentral:rRNA from 1 species